rnacentral:misc_RNA from 1 species
CAACAAUCAAGCCUGGCUUGGUGUUGGGGCACGGGGGUGACCCGGCCCUUAACGUCUUCGGCAGGGACGUCCUGAUCGCAGCGUCGUGGCACACAUUUUCGCUGGUGAGAUGGACGGUCCGCGCCGUUAAACCCCCAUCAAA